AGUGAACGCUGGCGGUAGGCCUAACACAUGCAAGUCGAACGGCAGCACAGUAAGAGCUUGCUCUUACGGGUGGCGAGUGGCGGACGGGUGAGGAAUACAUCGGAAUCUACUUUUUCGUGGGGGAUAACGUAGGGAAACUUACGCUAAUACCGCAUACGACCUACGGGUGAAAGCAGGGGAUCUUCGGACCUUGCGCGAUUGAAUGAGCCGAUGUCGGAUUAGCUAGUUGGCGGGGUAAAGGCCCACCAAGGCGACGAUCCGUAGCUGGUCUGAGAGGAUGAUCAGCCACACUGGAACUGAGCCACGGUCAAGACUCCUACGGGAGGCAGCAGUGGGGAAUAUUAGACAAUGGGCGCAAGCCUGAUCCAGCCAUACCGCGUGGGUGAAGAAGGCCUUCGGGUUGUAAAGCCCUUUUGUUGGGAAAGAAAAGCAGCAGGUUAAUACCCCGCUGUUCUGACGGUACCCAAAGAAUAAGCACCGGCUAACUUCGUG
rnacentral:rRNA from 1 species